CUUCGUGUUGCUGAAACCCAAAGCACCGAAGCUAUGAGACCCAGGCUCAACACCUCUUUAUCCUCUGUUUCCAUCGUCUCAACCACAGCCUCUGCAAUUUCCAAUGUCGCUAGCAACUACGCCGCAUCUGUGUUGUGGUAAUGACUCCACCAUACCAAGCCACGCCAAGCCAGUCAGAUCUACUGUUCUCUUCUCGAUCUCCUCCACCACGCCUUAGAAAUGGUGGUUUCAGUAACUCUCUCUCUCUCUCUCUCUCUCUCUCUCUCUCUCUCUCUCUCUUCACCAUCCAUGGCUAAAGAAGCCUAGCUCAGCAGUCGUCACUCUCUUUGUAUGGGAUUCGACUGGAUUUUUUUUUUUUUUCCGUAGUUGUUGCAUUGCCGAGCAUUGGGAUUAACUCAUAGUUCAUCAUGUAGAUACACGAAAGUUUUAGCUCACCCAUCAAACAUCAUUUGGAAAGCGGCGUCUGAAUUUUUGGAGUAACCACUGAAUUUUUAAAGUUGGGAUAUGGUCUUCUGCAAGGGACCUUAUACAGCAAUAUUUCCUGAUGAUGAAUACAAGGCCGAUCAAAUUAAUGAUGUCACUUUAGGACCAAAAGGUCAGCUACGUGCGUACUUGGAUGGCCUGGCGGAAGAGGUGAAGGUUCCUACUUAUGUGAAAGGACAUCCAUUUGGGUAGCCGACAAUAACCAAAUCACAUCCUGAGUGGGAAUACUAUUCCAAGACCACUGGCCGUUUUCAGACUAAAUAAACGAUCCCAAUUAUGUUUGGGAAUUAGUUUUAGAAUACCUUUGCUUCUAAUGCUGUUUAGGGUUGUUUUCUUAAGGAUUGUUUUCUUAGACAGUUCUACAAAUCUAUCUCUAAAGUGGAUUACUUCAUUCUUGGACAUGGAUUCAUUAUGGUAUCUAUUUCAACCAAUUACCCAUUUAAUAAAUUCAAGUCUAUCGAUUUCCUUGAUUGAUCAUAUGUUUUUUUGUCAAUCUUGCAUGUACUACAAUUCCAGGCCCACUUCUUAGAAGGAAAUAACUUUAAUUAUCAAAAGUAUAUAAGAAGAGCUUUGGAAAAAGACUUUGGGGAUUUGGAUAUAUUCUGUAUUGUUCAUAUUCUUCAAUGCAUGAACAGAGUGCAUUCACUUGUUAAUGUUAUGAUGAUUUGGAUUUCUGUAGUUUAUUUAUUUUGCUAGGCAUUAACUGUUAUUUGAGGGGCCUCAUCCCCAGAUUCUAUACUUACGAAAAGCAUCAUUAAUGUUGGGUUUCUCUUCAUCCAUUUGCUUGGGUUUAUUUUUUCUCUCUAAAUGCAGUUGUCACACUUAUUGUUAGUCCUAUAUCAUCAUAUCCAAUUAUUUUGUCUCUUUCCUAUCUUUGUUCUGCCAGUAAGAUUAUUCAAUCAGUAAUUCAUAAUCUCAAAUGUUUCACUUGGCUCACCUGCAAGUUUGUAUGCUUUUGUGCAGCUCCAAAGAUAUCUAAUGUUGAUUGCAUAUUGAAUUGUGACCAAGAGUAUCUUUUUUCUAUCUUUCCGAUUCUGGAGCACAUUUGCAUCUUCCUAUGGUGAUGAGUACAAUAGAAAUUAAAAGAUGACACUUUUUAUUAUUUUUUUUCAUUUUUUAUAAGUAUUUUGUUUUCAUUUUUGGAAAUUAUUCUGCUUACUUUGGCUUUUAUUGGCUAGACGUCAAAAUUGGACCGAUUUUCCUUAUUAAGCAAUCUUCCUUUUGCGGUAAACUUUACAAAGCUGAAACUUUGUAAAGGGAAGACACUUUUCGUUUGUUCCCAUAAUGGUAAAGAUUCUAACUUCUCUUUCAUCAGUGGUAAUACAUAUUUAUUAACUUGAUGGGAUUAGAUGUGCCAAGUU